UGUUUAACACAUGCAAGUCGAACGGAAACGAAAAUAGCUUGCUAUUUGGCGUCGAGUGGCGAACGGGUGAGUAACGCGUAGGAAUCUACCCAGUAGAGGGGGAUAGCCCGAAGAAAUUCGGAUUAAUACCGCAUAAUCUCUACGGAGUAAGGAAGGCCUCUUUACAAUGCUUUUACUAUUGGAUGAGCCUGCGUUAGAUUAGUUAGUUGGUAGGGUAAAAGCCUACCAAGGCGACGAUCUAUAGCUGGUUUUACGAGAAUGAUCAGCCACACUGGAACUGAGACACGGUCCAGACUCCUACGGGAGGCAGCAGUGAAGAAUAUUGGACAAUGGGGGAAACCCUGAUCCAGCAAUGUUGCGUGUGUGAAGAAGGUCCGAGGAUUGUAAAGCACUUUCAGUAAGCAAGGAAAAUGUAAAUCUAAUAGAUUUGCAUGUUGACCACUUAUAGAAGAAGCACCGGCUAACUCCGUGCCAGCAGCCGCGGUAAUACGGAGGGUGCGAGCGUUAAUCGGAAUUACUGGGCGUAAAGGGUAAGUAGGCGGUUUAUAAAGUCACAUGUGAAAGCCCUAGGCUUAACCUANGAAG
rnacentral:rRNA from 1 species